UUUGGUGUAAAUUUAGAAGCAACUUCUACCU
rnacentral:piRNA from 1 species